UAAAGCUAAAGACCUUCUAAGCUGUUAUACGCACACCGAAGGCAUGAAGCCCUAAUACGAAAGUAGCUUUACUAUUAUACCUGACGCCACGAAAGCUAAGAAACAAACUGGGAUUAGAUACCCCACUAUGCUUAGCCUUAAACCCAAAUGUUUAAACUUACAAACAACAUUCGCCAGGGGACUACGAGCGCUAGCUUAAAACCCAAAGGACUUGACGGUGUCUCAGACCCACCUAGAGGAGCCUGUUCUAGAACCGAUAAUCCCCGUUCAACCUCACCACCCCUUGCUUUUCCCGCCUAUAUACCGCCGUCGCAAGCUUACCCUGUGAAGGAUCUACAGUAAGCAAAAUGGGUAUUACCCAAAACGUCAGGUCGAGGUGUAGCUCACGAGGUGGAAAGAAAUGGGCUACAUUUUCUCCAACAGAAUAUUACGGACAACACUAUGAAACUGGUGUUUAAAGGUGGAUUUAGUAGUAAAAAACAAAUAGAGUGUGUUUUUGAACCAGGCUCUGAGACGCGCACACACCGCCCGUCACUC
rnacentral:rRNA from 1 species